rnacentral:rRNA from 1 species
AGAGUUUGAUCUGGCUCAGGAUGAACGCUAGCUACAGGCUUAACACAUGCAAGUCGAGGGGCAGCAUGGUCUUAGCUUGCUAAGGCCGAUGGCGACCGGCGCACGGGUGAGUAACACGUAUCCAACCUGCCGUCUACUCUUGGACAGCCUUCUGAAAGGAAGAUUAAUACAAGAUGGCAUCAUGAGUCCGCAUGUUCACAUGAUUAAAGGUAUUCCGGUAGACGAUGGGGAUGCGUUCCAUUAGAUAGUAGGCGGGGUAACGGCCCACCUAGUCUUCGAUGGAUAGGGGUUCUGAGAGGAAGGUCCCCCACAUUGGAACUGAGACACGGUCCAAACUCCUACGGGAGGCAGCAGUGAGGAAUAUUGGUCAAUGGGCGCAGGCCUGAACCAGCCAAGUAGCGUGAAGGAUGACUGCCCUAUGGGUUGUAAACUUCUUUUAUAAAGGAAUAAAGUCGGGUAUGCAUACCCGUUUGCAUGUACUUUAUGAAUAAGGAUCGGCUAACUCCGUGCCAGCAGCCGCGGUAAUACGGAGGAUCCGAGCGUUAUCCGGAUUUAUUGGGUUUAAAGGGAGCGUAGAUGGAUGUUUAAGUCAGUUGUGAAAGUUUGCGGCUCAACCGUAAAAUUGCAGUUGAUACUGGAUAUCUUGAGUGCAGUUGAGGCAGGCGGAAUUCGUGGUGUAGCGGUGAAAUGCUUAGAUAUCACGCAGAACUCCGAUUGCGAAGGCAGCUUACUAAACUAUAACUGACACUGAAGCACGAAAGCGUGGGGAUCAAACAGGAUUAGAUACCCUGGUAGUCCACGCAGUAAACGAUGAUUACUAGCUGUUUGCGAUACACAGUAAGCGGCACAGCGAAAGCGUUAAGUAAUCCACCUGGGGAGUACGCCGGCAACGGUGAAACUCAAAGGAAUUGACGGGGGCCCGCACAAGCGGAGGAACAUGUGGUUUAAUUCGAUGAUACGCGAGGAACCUUACCCGGGUUUGAACGCAUAUUGACAGCUCUGGAAACAGAGUCUCUAGUAAUAGCAAUUUGCGAGGUGCUGCAUGGUUGUCGUCAGCUCGUGCCGUGAGGUGUCGGCUUAAGUGCCAUAACGAGCGCAACCCUUAUCACUAGUUACUAACAGGUCAUGCUGAGGACUCUAGUAAGACUGCCAGCGUAAGCUGUGAGGAAGGUGGGGAUGACGUCAAAUCAGCACGGCCCUUACAUCCGGGGCGACACACGUGUUACAAUGGUGGGGACAAAGGGCAGCUACCGUGUGAGCGGAUGCAAAUCUCCAAACCCCAUCUCAGUUCGGAUCGAAGUCUGCAACCCGACUUCGUGAAGCUGGAUUCGCUAGUAAUCGCGCAUCAGCCAUGGCGCGGUGAAUACAUUCCCGGGCCUUGUACACACCGCCCGUCA